AAACCAUGAUUAGAACAUUUGUGAAGCAAACUCUUAUAAUGGUCCUAAUAUUCAUAUAUAGAUUCUUCAUCAUCCUGAUGAAAGGAUGAUAUGUCAUUCCUUAGCUGAGUGU